UCCCUGGUGGUCCAGUGGUUAGGAUCUGGGACUUUCACUGCUGUGGCCCAGGUUCAAUCCCUGGUUGCGGAA
rnacentral:tRNA from 1 species